UACGUAGGUAGCAAGCGUUGUUCGGAGUUACUGGGCGUAAAGAGUGCGUAGGCGGUCCUUUAAGUUUGGUGUGAAAUCUCCCGGCUCAACUGGGAGGGUGCGCCGAAAACUGGAGGGCUUGAGUGUGGGAGAGGCAAGCGGAAUUCCUGGUGUAGCGGUGAAAUGCGCAGAUAUCUGGAGGAACACCGGUGGCGAAGGCGGCAUCCUGGACCAACACUGACGCUGAGUGAGCGAAAGCCAGGGGAGCAAACGGG
rnacentral:rRNA from 1 species